rnacentral:rRNA from 1 species
UACGUAGGGUGCAAGCGUUGUCCGGAAUUAUUGGGCGUAAAGAGCUCGUAGGCGGUCUGUCGCGUCGGCUGUGAAAACUCGGGGCUCAACCCCGGGCCUGCAGUCGAUACGGGCAGACUAGAGUGCUGUAGGGGAGACUGGAAUUCCUGGUGUAGCGGUGAAAUGCGCAGAUAUCAGGAGGAACACCAGCGGUGUAGACGGCUUCUGGACCAUUGCUGACGCUGAGACACGAAAGCGUGGGUAGCAAACAGG